GAUGCCAUAGUAUUUGCAAUAGACCAAUCAAAAACUCUAUGUGCAUAUAGCACAUAAAUAACUUCUAAUCUAGCCUAGGAAGAAGGAUAGCGUGGUACUAUCUAUAAACCCACUUUGUGACAGCAGCACUUUCUAGCAACAGCAUCGGUAUUCUCCACAAAAUGUAGCAAGUGACACCUAAUAAAAAUAAAAGGAGUUGACAUAUCUUGAGCAUGUAUUGAUAAUUAGUAAUAAACUAGCAUAAACUAAAAAGUGAGUUCAAUAAGUUGUAUCUCUAUAUACUGGCAAUGAGCAAAGAAAUUAAAUACUUAGGGUGUAACUCUACCAAAACAUACACAGGACUACAAAAACUACAAAAUGCUAAUGAAGUAAAUCAAAGAAAAACUAAAUAAAUGGAGGGACAUGCCAUGCUCAUGGAAUGUAGUACAUUUACACCACAGAAUACCAUUCAGCAAUAAAAAGAAACAAACUAUUGAUAAACACAGCAACCUGAAUGAAUCUAUAAGGAAUUAUGCUGAUGGAAAAACUUCAGUUCCAAAAGGUUACAUACUAUGAGUCUAUUUACAGAACAUUAUUAAAUGAUAAAAUUUUAUAUAGAGAGAACAGGUUAGUUUGUAACCAGGCAUGAAGGAGAGAGGAGAGAUAGAAGGGAAGUAGGUGUACCUUUGUGGUGAUGACAUAUAUCCUUACUAUAUUAACGUCAAUAUCCUAGCUGUGAUACUGUACUAGUUUCACAAAAUGUUACUAUUGGAGGAAAAUGGUGCAUGGAAUUACUCUUUAUUAUUUCUUGAAACUGCAUGUGAAUCUACAAGUAUUUCAAAAUAAUUUUUUUAAUGGGGGCAGGGGGAGGUCUCCCAACAACAAAUAAAUUAACUUGCCAUCCUCCAGCAGCCUAGGCAGGCAGAGAGCUUCUCGCAAAUCACAGCAUCAUGAUGUUGGGCCAUCCAGAUGUAGAACAUAUUCAGCCUGUGUGCUGCCACUUCAUCAGGAAGUCACAGCUCCAAAAAGGUUAAUUUUUAAGUCUCUAUUUAGAAAUCCUAUCUUUAAGCCACAUUGCUUUCUUAGCUCAAGGACUAUUUCAGUUGUAACAGUUUAGGAUUAUAUACUAUGAAAACAAUAAAAGGAGAUCUUAAAAUGAGCAAUUACAGUAAUUAGCACAAAAGAAUUUCUAAGUCUAUUAUUGAGCAACUUUCUGAAGGAACAAGACUAUUUUAAACUAAAAGAAUGCAUACCCAAGACACGUUUAUUGCAGAGUUAUUUGUAAUACUAAAAAACUGGAAACAACUAAAUGACUAAUUUGGAGUGAUUAAAGAAAUCAUGUCCAUCAUUCCAGCUUUAUGCAAUGGUUAAAAAUGCAUAAAGAGCAGGUCCGCAAGCACUGACAAUAAUUAUAAGCAAGGUAAAUUAUUAAGCUGAAAAAAGAUACAGAACAAUGCAAAAAGAUAACCCCAUUUAAGUAUUUAAAAUUAUACAGUAGAACAUAUGCAUAUAUAAUAUAAAUAAAUGAGAGAGUAUUUUCAAAAUUAGUUGUAAUGAAGACUUCAUGGGGAAGGGGAUGGUGACAUUUAAAAUGUAUUUUCAUUGUAAAAAAAACAUAAAAAUCAGAAUUUACAAAUUUAGAUUUCUAUCAAUCAUGAUUAAAAUAAGAUGUUUUCCACUUAAUUCAACAUGGUAAACAAAGCUGCUUCCUUUCAUCCCAAAAUGGACAUAUUCAGGUUUUUAUCCAAAUGUGUUACUGAGUUUUGUUUCUUCUUUAAAAGUGUCUAGAUUAGGGACUCACAAAUUCAAUUCUUUCAAGGAAUACUACAUAUUAACAGGAAAGUUAUUUGCUCAAAUAGGUUUGAGAAAUGCUAUUUAAAACAUAAACAGGAGACCAAGGCAGGAGGAUCACCGGAGUCAGGAGUUCACAAGCAGACAGGGCAACACAGCAAGACCCCAUCUCAAAAAAAAUCAAUAGGAGGGAAAUAAGUAAUCAGCCUUUUGCUGGGCUAUGAAAACAUUUUAGGCCAGUGCAUGAAAAGAUGCUCAGAGGAUUUCAGAGUUCAAGAAAUGUUGGACUACAUUAACAUUUAAUGUAGUCUUGAACCUUAAGACUCUUAAACCUGGAAUAUCACAAUGCUGUCCAAAUUAUCCAUCAAGUCUACAAAGACAGGAAAUAGACUCAAUAUAGCCCCAGUACCCCGGCACAGUAAUAGCACAUGGUACAUAAGGAGCAUGUGACAUGCAUAUGCAAAUAAGAGGUACAAAAUAUGCAAGGUAGAUAAAGUUCUAAGUAGUUUACAUAUUUGCCCUAUCUUGUUUAUACUAUUUACCAAAAAAGGCUAAAUGUUAUUAACUCAUUAUUUCUAUUCAAAAAGCAUUUGAUAAAUAGCAGAAAUUCAGUCAAGUACUUACUACUUUACAAAAAGCUCAGGUAAAUAAAUAUAAAUGGAAAACUGAGAAACUAGGUUCCACUAUAAGCAGAGUCUUCACCAGCUAUGGGUAGCUCUAAUGGAACAGUAAAAUCUUCUAAUGGAUUUAAAUACGAUCUGAUGUGCGACAUUAGUAAUUUAAUUUGGAGGGACAUUUAUUUCUAGCAAAAGUGAUCAGGCAAGUCCCUUCUACACCCUAAAACCCAUUUCUUUUUUGCCCCCAAUUUUAAACCUGCCUCACUAUUAAAGCUUCAAGACAAACUCUACAAUCAUUUUAUCAAGCUCCAAACAAGCUGCAGAAGUACUAAAAUUGUUUUUAAAUUAUAAAUCAAUUUGGGAAGAAGUGACAUUGAUAAUAUUCCAGUUUCUCACCUAGAGAAAAUGGCAUUUCGCUUCAUUUAAAUCUCUUUUUCUUUAUUUUGAAACAGGGUCUCGCUCUGUCAUCCAGGCUGGAGUACAGCGGCACAAAUGUGGCUCACUGUAGUCUUGACCUCCUGGGCUCAAGUAGUCCUCCCACCUCAGCCUCCUGAGAAGUGGACAUGACAAUUGUAUGCCACGACUCCCGGCUAAAUUUUGUUUUGUUUUGUUUUUUAAGAGACAAAGCUUGCCAUGUUGCCCAGGCUGGUAAAUCUUCUUUUCUACAUUGUUCAGUAAGAUUGUGUAGAUUUUCUGUAAAUACAUCCUACAAGUUUCCUAUUAGAAUUACUUCUUGUUAUCUGGAUUGUUUAAUUAAAAAGAAAUGCAGUUUUAUUACUUCCAAAAACAUUAAGCAAUUCACUUAUCUAUCUAAACCGUAAGGAGAUCCUUAAGGAGAUAGACUGCCUAAAGUGAAUAGUGAGGCAUGAUUUAUAAUUAGUAUGUUAAUUUCAUCUGUAAAUAGGAAACUAUAAAACUUUUCAAGGUAGUUUAAAAAAUUCCAUCAAGUAGAUAACAUAUUCACCUUACAAUUUUAUUUACUCUCUCUCUCUUUUUUUUUUUUUUUUUUUUUUUUUUGAGACAGAGUUUCAUUCUUUUUGCCCAAGCUGGAGUGCAAUGAUGCAAUCUUGGCUCUCCACAACCUCCACCUCCCGGGUUCAAGCGAUUCUCCUGCCUCAGCCUCCUGAGUAGCUGGGAUUACAGGCAUGCGCCACCACUGUGGCUAAUUUUGUAUUUUUAGUAGAGAUGAGGUUUCUCCAUGUUUGUCAGGCUGGUCUUGAACUCUCAACCUCAGGUGAUCCACCCGCCUCAGCCUCCCAAAGUACUGGGAUUACAGAUGUGAGCCACCACACCCGGCCUACUCUGUUAAUUUAAACAACUAUUAAAUGAGACAAUACACUGCAAAGCACUUAGAAAAGUGCCUGACACAGGAAUAAGUUUUCUUUUUUCUUUUUUUAUUUUAUUUAUUUUUUUAUUAUACUUUAAGUUUUCAAUAAAUGCGAAUGUUUGUUAUUACAUAAAUUUAAAAAAAAAAAAUAGCCACCUGGCUCCAUUCUUGGCCACAAACUCUGAAGAGGUGGAGUUAAAGUGUGUGAGGUAUGUCGGAUAACCUCCCAUGCAAGUCACUACCACAGCUGACAUCCCGGAGCCAGAGAACUUGAUGAAUGUCUUCAAUGGUCACAGCUGAAAAGGGAACUAACUCCAGGUCCCCAGGCUGACUUGCCCUCCGAGCCUGGAGGGCAAACUCUGCUAAUUAACUCUCUUUGCUUGGGUUCGCCUCUGUCAUCUUCACCCCUGUGCCAACAGGCUAUCUCCACAGAUAGCCUGCUCUCGUGUGCCCUCUACUGGAGGGCUGUGGUUCCAGAGUUGCUCCAGCCUCGGACUCGGCUCCCCGCAGACGGAAUGUCCUCCUCCAGGGAGAGGCUCGAGUCAAGUGCUAAUGUGUUGUCAACCUCUGACUCCAGAGAAGCGGAUUAUAUGAUUUAAUGAUAGUUCCGCAUCAGAAAAGAUUUUGAAACGUGUAGCUCAAAACAGUAAAAUUUCACAGUGAUUAUCUGAAACUGAAGUAGUCCAAACCGCUGACGGUGUAACCUGAGCAACUUGUUUUAACUCCUCUGAGGCUGUUUCCUCAUCUGUACGGUGGGAAUAGCAGUACUUACCUAACCAGGCUGAGGAUUAAAUGAAUUAGUAUCUGUAAAGUGCUUAGAAUGGUACAUAGCACAGAGCAGUGUUCUUAAAUAUUUCUUGAAAAAAUUAAUAAAGGAGAAGCCUACCUUAAACCUUCAGAGAAAAUCUGAAGUCGAAAUUUUUAAAAGCUAAAUUUUAGAAUCAAUUGCAUUUUAAAGUCAUCAUGAAACAUGAGGUUGCUGCUACACAGUCACUUGUGCUGGAUUAUAUAACAGGUGAAAACUUAUUCUCUUGGGAAUUUCCAGAACUCUGUGGCACAGCCAAAAUACACCGACCUUGAAUACAUUGUUCUGGAACAAAGUGGAUGUACUGAACACUGAAUUGAUGUUACUACUUCGUACCAAGCACACAGCACUGAAUGCUCUCACGCUCAAUUAUCUGACAGUGAUGCUAGUAAGAAUAAAACAUAAUUUUUAAUCUUAUUUAAAAUGUAUUAUGCACUCCCAGAGUACUUACAAGAAACUACUCUUCUGCUUUUCAUGGAUAUCUAUUCAUAAGAAGAAAGACAGCUGGUUUUGGGGCUGGUGGUGGGUUUUUCCAUUGUUUUCAAAAGACAGAGAGCUAUGCAUAUGCUGACUUCCAAAGAGGCUAUCAUCAGUCACCGGAAAUCCACAGAAAAGGUCACUGCCAGAGAUCUGCCAUGUGUGAUCCACCCACUCUCACUUCAAGGCCACUAGCACCACUACCAGGCUGACACAAGGCCCCUGGGAAGGUGGCCCAGUGCAGGACAGACACAAAAGGGACCACAGUCAAGGAGCAGCCUUACUUUCUCACCUCACCCAAGAUAGAGAGCUAUGGGCCAAGGGAGGGGAAAUCAGGAUAUGGCCACCCAGGCCAGGGCUGCCCCCACUCCUCAACCCUGCUCCCCUGGAGAAAGACCGUACUCUUAUCAAGGGCCCUGUGGGUGACAAAGAGCUAGAGAGCCACUGUGACCACUGGGUUUCUGCACCAUUUGGCUAAUGAAAACCAUGACCCUCUCUGGGUCUCAGUCUUCUCAUCUGUGAAGUGGAAGGAUAGGCAAAAUGACAUGAAUAACAGAAUGAGUGACUAUAACCCAAGCCCACAGCUUAGUGUCAAGGAUUGUGAGAACGAAGCAAAAGGCAUCAAGCACUCUGAAUUGUUCAAAUAAUGAAGAUGAUGCCCACAAAGACAGAUAGAACAUGCCUCAAAGCUUCUCAGUUUUCCUACGACUAAGAUAACCAGUCACCAUGUGGCAUGACUCCGAGGACCACGUACAGGCUUUGCAUCUUCUGUGAAGGCUUCAGUUGCCCUUGGGGAUACAUCGCCGUUCUGUCCACCAACACUCUCUCAUGUUCUCAGGACAUAAUUACCUAUUUCUGUUCUAUCCUCACCCCCUAAAAGAUUAGUCUAGAACCUGUUCUUAUUAAGCUCUGCAUUGUCAUUGCUGAACACUCUGUCAUGCAGUAGGUGCUCAAUAAAUAUCUAACCCCCGUACACACAUCAAAAACAAAAGAGCAUCUAUGGGUCUUUAUACUGUAAGGUUUUACUUUCUUCUCCCCUACUUCCCUACUAUUGGUCCCUCCAUCUAGACCUUACGAUCUGCAGUGGUCUACAUUUGGGACCCUUACAGUAAACGUGUGCCACUUCUCUGAAAAGUCAUGCAGCUGCUCCCAGCUCCGUCUCUGCAUGACCAGGCAAGUGAGUGCAGACCUCAUCUUACAUCUGUGUGGUUCUCUUUUCUGCAGGCUGAAAUGCUGCUCUCCCCAUCAACUGUGAGGAUGCACUUGCUGCCCUCUUGCCCACCAAGGUAUGGGGCCUGGAGAGCUACGUUUGUGUCUGCUCUGACUUUGGACAGCCCCCACAGGGGUCAUUCCCCGGCAGCUCAUUCCAUCACUGAGAUGUGCUGAGAUCCCAGAGCCGCCUGCACCCUUGAGGUUCCUCUUCGGUCAUCAUUCCUUGCUUGGACUUCUUUAGACGUCUAGAGACUUCCGAGGUCGGUGAGCAGACUGUGUCCUUAACCAGCAUUUUGUUUCUCAGGGCCUCCCCGGGCCCCUCACCACCUCCCUCUCAGACUCCCAAACCCUGGAACUGAAUUCAAGGCAACCUUCUUCCCUCUUUGAAAGGUUUAACAAACAGCGUCUCAACUUUAACCUUGGCAAGUACAUUAACCAAGUUCCAGGUCACAUGAAUUAACGGAUGGCCCACUUAAAACAAACCACACUGAGUAGCUACGAGGAAUGUCUCCACUGCGGCAAGUGCAAAAUCCAAGUGAAGGCCCUGAUCAGCAAAUUGAGCGUGCUUCAGGACACCCGCCCCUCCUGCCUGGCCCCCUGCCGCUGCAGCAACACAUGUGAACUGACACGGUAUCUGAGCACACCCCGGGAAACAGACCGCAGCCCUCCCUGGCGCCCAGUGAUUACAGGCCAAGGCUGAAAGCAGCAACAAGAACCAAGAAACAAAGCCUUCUGUGAAACCAGAAACCACACAAGGUCACAAAAACAGCAAGAACUUGUAAAUCCUGAAAACCCUUCAGUGAGGAAUUUUCCUAAGCACCUGUGUCCAGCUCUGAAACAACAGUGGCUUGACACAUACCUGAGACGAUGAGAGCACAAAUCCAGCCGCCCCUCCGGAAAGACCAUUCAAGGUCACGGGCGUUUUAAGAUGUGGUUCUCUUUUGGGCUUAUCUGUGGAAAAACAUCCAAGGCACAGACCAAACAGCUGCUUUGAAAACACACUCAAGACAGACCACAUCCUUGCACACCGCUGUGGCCUCAGGUGAGAGGAGGUGGAGGUGAGGGCCGCCCAGCACCAAUGUCUGGUAAUGGCAGGUAGGGGAACUUCACAUGCACCUAUGUUAUUUCAGAGCCUGGGCUCAACAGGGAGGUAGGGGGAAGGAGGGAAGAGGCUCUUAAAAAUAAUGCUGACAAAAUCAAGUACCAAGAACACAAGUGUCCUGAUAACUAGUAAGUUUCUUUUUUAAAGAAAUAAAAUCUGGCUGGGCGCAGUGGCUCACACCUGUAAUCCCAGCACUUUGGGAGGCCAAGGCGCGUGGAUCAUCUGAGGUCAGGAGUUCAAGACCAGUCUGGCCAACAUGGCAAAACCCCAUCUCCACUACCAAUACAAAAAAUUAGCCCGGCAUGGUGGCACAUGCCCAUAGACCCUGUUACUCAGAAGGCCGAGGCAGGAGAAUUGCUGGAACCCGGGAGGCGGAGGUUGCAGUGACCUGAGAUCACACCACUGCACUCCAGCCUGGGCGACAGAGUAAGACUCCAUCUCAAAAAAAAAAUAAAAAAAUAAAUAAUAAAAAAUAAUUAAAUUAAAAUAAAUAAAUAAAAAUUUCUCUUGCCCCUUCCACCCUCCCUUCGGGAGUUUAAGGAAAAUCACCACAAAAGAGAAAACCAAAGUCAGUCAAAAGCUGCUUAAAGGAUGUGCAAUUACAUGUGAUUGAGAAAGUCUGUAUGAUUAAAGCCAGAAAGAAGGCUGCGUACUUGGCAAAUACUAGGCACUGUAUUUAGGCAAAUAUUCUUUCAACUAUCAGUCUCUUCCUCCCACAACACACCUCCCUAAUUUGCAAAGAUUUGUUUAAUAGACCAGUGGUUCUCAAAGUGUGGUCCCAGACCCCAAAAAGGAUCACAUGGGAACUUGACAGAAAUGCAAAUUCUCAUCAUCCAACCAGCCCGAGACCUGCUGAAUCGGAAACCCUGGGGUGGGGCCCAGCCCUGUGAGCUUUAACAAGCAACCCAGGGGAUUCUGACCUGGGAGACCCACUGUACUCUGCCUGGAUCCUUCAGUGCGGACCAGGGACCCAGCACCAGCAGGGGCCACAGGCACAGAAGCCAGGUGUUGCUCUGAUCCUUAUAGCUGCAGAGGUGGCCAAAGACCCCUCCCCAGCUGCUUCCCCGACAAGUGGGGGCUUGGGACACAUCCCAGGUGGCAUAGCUGUGGUGGUGGCAGUGGUAGGAGGCCCAGGUUGAGACAUGAGGGGAAGAACAGUGUCUAGGGCAACGGUCCCUGAACUUGUUUGCACAAGGUACUCACCCAGAAGCCUCGAAAACACGGAUGCCCAGUCCCACCCCUGGAAAUGGUGAUUCAGUUGGUCUAGAGGUGGGGGUGGCAGCCUGGCUUUGGAAUCGUCAAAGCUCCCCAGGUGAUAAUAAUGUGCAAACAAGUUUAGAUCUGCCUACAGUCUUGUGACUGUUAAAACAGAGAUGGGGCAGGACACAAAAGGCACCUUCCAUGUGGAGGUGGGGGGAACGAGGCAAUGGUCCCGCUUGCUACAGCAGGGAGGACUUGGCCUGACCCAGCUGGGGGUCAUCCAUUUCUGAGUGCUCCAGGGGCCUGGAACCAGCAAUGGCUUGAUACACAUGGACUCAGGUAUUAUAACCUAUUUUCCCUCUAAGGACUCUGGGACUAAGGCAGGUUAUUAUUAACCUCCAAGUCAGACAACCUCCAGUGGAGCCAGGACUCAAACCUGGGACUGCCCAGCUGGAGAAGGAGUCUGGUUCCAGGUUCCUGAGCUACGUAACUAGCUGGCUUCCCCCCGGAUCACAAGAUGUCGUCAGACACCUACUGGAGCUAUGUGGAUCCUUAUUCACACUCAGAGAGAGCACUGCUUCCCAGAGCCACCAAACCACAGUUCUGAGCAGCGUUCUAAGGGACCAACCUGAACUGUGGCCAGGAAAUGCCUCCCUGCUGAUUACAGUGUGGGGUACAGUCCAUCUUUUGGGGGAGGGGAGGACGCUCGAAUGCUAGUUGGGGUUAAUUUCACUCAAAAUGUGUGGCUGCUAUGCAGUGCAGAUAAGAGUGGUCCCCAGAACAAAAUCUGGGCGCUGUGAGCAAAAGGAAAUGGUUGCUGAUCCAUGUCCCCCAAGGCACCCCAUGGCUCAAGUAAUGCUCCGUGUUAAUCCUUGUGCUGAAACUGCACAUACUUCUUGAGAACGCCUUGUCUGGAGCGGUAAGCAAUCUAGCAUUUUAACUUCCCCUCAAGGAACUGAUUUGUCCCUUGUGACCCCAUUAAUGUUUGCAGAUGCCUUGACCUUCAUUAAUUACGGGAGUUUUUGUAAAGCUGAACAUUGAGGCCAACAGCAGCCAUACUUCUCUUUUAGGAAAAUGGCAGCCACUCUGAGCCUCGAGGUUUACACAGCCCCCAACACUCUCUGGAUGGGACUGUACAUGCAGCACGGGGGUCAUCUGAGCCACCAGCUACUCAUCUUGUAUAGAAACAAAACAAAAAAGAACUGAGUACAGUAACCAAGGAAGAAAAUCAUAAAAGUUCACACGCUGGAAACAACUUUCUAAUUCUCUUAUCUAUACUUGGCCACAGAUGAGCUAAGAAUCAUCACCAGUAGUUAACUCAAGAGAGGCAUGCAAAUAUGUGGUAAGAUGCUAUAAUUUUGAGGUUAGAAAAUAAAUCCAUGUAUUUAUAACUUAAAUAGUGAUUUGAAUCAAGGAGUAUUAAUGGCUGUACCCUUAGAAAAAGAAUGAUUCUAACCACUUACCCUUCAGCACCCAACCCCUAUCAAAAGCAAACAUAUUCUGUGAUAACAAACAUCGUAAUAUCAUCUUUAUUUGUCUGCCCUGGAAAAAACACCAAAUCAUGACUGGUGUUCCUGUUAUUGAUUCCUCCCCAACAAGGAAAAAAAAAAAGUGACCUUUUGGCUGGGCACAGUGGCUAGUGCCUAUAAUCUCACCUCUUCAAAAGUAAAAAAAAGUUAAAAAAAAAAAUUAGCUGGGCGUGGUGGUGUACAUAUACAGUUCUAGCUGCUAGAGAGGCUGAGGGAGGAGGACUGUUUGAGCCCAGGAGUUCGAGGCUUCAGUGAGCUAUGAUUGUGCCACUGUGCUCCAGCCUGGCCAACAGAGACCUAAUUCUUAAAAUAAUAAUAAUAAUAAUAAUAAUAAUAAUAAUAAUAAUUUUUAAGUGACCUCUUGAAUGAAGUCUUCCUUCAUGUUUAUUUUUUACAAACCUUUCUUAGGUUCAGAACAGCUUGUUCAAUAUUAAUUCCAUAGAACAGAGCCGACCACACUAUGAGAACUCAAUUUGAAAACAACAGUAUAUCAAAAAUAUCAGUGAUUUUCAAAAAAUUCCUCUUUUCCAGACUAGAAAUUAUUAAUCAAAAAAUUAUGAAUUAGUAGUUUUUAGUAAAGUUGGUAUUUCACCAAUUUUGUUAAGUCAGAAAACUCCUUAUAAACACCUGUUUCAUGUUUUCAGAAAUUUUCAAAUGAUUCCACAGUUGCUACAUGGUCAAUAAAGAAAAACUUCAUGCUUUUACUUCAAUUAGAAUUCUCUGUUCGCAGUUUGGGGGUCUCACUGGCCAGUGUGUGUAUGAGAACUUAAGGGAUGUAUGCACUUUAGAGCUCAGCUGUGCAAGCUGGGCUUUCCUUACCUACGCUGCUAUAAACAUACUGCUAGAGGAGGGACAUUUAAGCUACUCUCAUGCUGCUACAAGAUUAAAUGCCUCCCUACCUAUUUAAAAAAAAAAAAUGUCAGUGGAGAAGAAGGAAGGAGGGAGGGAAGGAAACUCAGCUUGAAUGUCAGUAACUUGAUAAGCAUGCUGCUGAUAAAGAACACCCUGGACUUUGUAGCAAUUGCCAAUAACCAAACCAAUAAGCAAACAAUCCAAACUUAACCGUAACCUUAAAUUUUUUCCCUUUUCAUGUUUCAUUUGAACAUGAAAAUGUUCAAAUCUCUUGCAUACGUUGUUAUUCAUAAGUGAGCUGCAGGGGGAAACCCAAGCCUAGAUGUAAGAUACACUCUUUUCAACAUGCAUGCAGGCCUCACCAGUGAUGUCUCUGGAGGCAUAUUCUGACCAGAUCAACUGCCUCACCUGCGACAUCACCGUUUACUGGGUCUCACUAUAUAUAAAUAACUUCUCUGCUUACUCACUAAAGCCUUGUGCAGGUCCCUCUUACCUCCUCAAAUACGUCCACAUGUGUAAGCACACAUAUCUGCACAUCGGUUUGCUUUAUUCACAGGAAUCUGAGAACCCCUAUGAAACGGCAGUGAGGAAGGGGAGAGAGGGUGGAAUGGGUACCAGAAGGGAGAGAGGAAGACAAUGUACAGGAAAACAACAACAACAACAAAAAUCCUAAGUAGUUGUGUUCUCCAAAGAACUAAAUGUAAAUGGUCCCAGCACACCUUAGAAAAACAGGAGCAGCAGGGGGUAUGUGUUAGUCAUCUUUCUGAGCUCCACGUGGGUGCUUGGAUGGAGGGAUGAAUGAUGAAUGGAAUACACAAACAGUGCCACAACUGACUCCCCCUCCGUGAAGACCCCAUUAGAUUCCAAGGUGCACUUCCUCAUACAACAACAAUCCAACUCUCACCAACAAUCCUCAUUCGAAGUUUCAUCCACAGAACAAAGUCCUCAGUAGCAAUUCUCCACCUUUAAAUGUUCAAAAGUACUGCCAUGGGGACUAAGACACAACUGGGACCUUUUUAUUGACUGUUGAUCUAAAGUUUUAGGGAUCAGAAGUCUCUGAGAAUGUGGUGACUUUUGGGGACCCUUCUACCAAGAAAAAUGCAUACAGACGAAUUUUGACACAAUUUUGACAUGGUGGACACUCAGGAUUCCAUGUUGGAAAGGAAUUCCAACUUAGAUCCCUGCCGGCAAGUAGAACCAGGACACGGCAGGGAGCGGGAGGGACCUGAGAGACAGUGAUUGUUGCCUGUUGACAGCUAACGGCCAACUUACACAGAUUCCCCACACCCUAAAACCAUCCCUGGUCUUCCCUGUCAAAAGGUUCUCAGCUUAAAAAUCUAUGCCUACACCUAUGUCUUCCCCUUUAUUUUUUAUUGAUGUGUGAUAUUUGUACAUAUUUAUGGGGUUAAUAUGAUAUUUUGAAACAUGUAUGCAAUGUAUAAUGAUCAGAAUAAUUAGGAUAUCCAUCAUUUCAAACAUGUAUCCUUUCUAUGUGUUGGGAACAUUUCUAACCUUCUAGCUAUUUGGAAAUAUACAGUAAAUUACUGUUAACGAUAGUCACCCUAUUAGAAUGUAUUCCCUCUAUCUAACUGAAUGUUUGUACUCAUUCUCUACCCCUCUUCAUCGCCCCCUUUCCCAGUCUCUGGUAACCAUCACUCUACUCUCUACCUCCAAGAGAUCAACUUUUUUUGCUCCCACGUAUACGUGAGAACACGCAAUAUCUGUUUUUGCCUUCCUCUAACUUUUAAUCCCAGCAGAGAGACAUUCAUUCAGCCCAUGGUCACACUCAUUAUCAUCUGGAAGUCAGAGUGACAUGGUGGACACCCAGGAUUCCACACUGGAAAGAAUCCCAAUUUAGAUCCCCGUCAGAGAGCAAAACCAGGGCAGAGCCAGGAGGGGAAGAGACUUGAGAGGCAGCAAGUGCUGACUGUUGACAGCUAAUGGCCAACUCAGGAGAUCUACAGAGAACAAGGAAGCAACCGAAGACCACAGAGAGGCUAAGACAAAGGCGGGAGAUUAACACUCACCGGAAUAAUCCAGCAGACGGAAGGGGAUAGAAAAUCUCAAAUCCUGCUUUAAAGAAAUUUUGCCUGGAAAAAUCUUUGAGCAUGUGCCAUGUACAAGUUUAAAUAAGCAAGACAAACAGCUAGGGCUAAUAAGUGUAAAAGCAGUGCUACUGAUAAGAAAAUAGAAGAGAAUGACAAAUUCCCAGGCAAAAUGAGAUACAGAAAAUAACCAUGUCAACAAUGUACAACGGAACUGUCGAUAAGUCCCCUCCAUAUCCUGGUCUAAUUAAACCCUUUCUCACAAAUGCCAGCAAUCAAUAAAAAAUUAUUUCUUAUUCAA